rnacentral:rRNA from 1 species
CGGCACAGAGGGAAGCCAGGUGGCGACACCGCGCGGAACCGAAGCCGUUCUCAGUUCGGAUCGGAGUCUGCAACCCGACUCCGUGAAGCUGGAUUCGCUAGUAAUCGCGCAUCAGCCAUGGCGCGGUGAAUACGUUCCCGGGCCUUGUACACACCGCCCGUCAAGCCAUGGGAGCCGGGGGUGCUUGAAGUGCGUCGCCGCAAGGCGCGCCCUAGAGCAAAACCGGUGACUGGGGCUAAGUCGUAACAAGGUACC